AACGAACGCUGGCGGCGGGCUUAACACAUGCAAGUCGAACGGCAACGCACUACUUGCUUGGUCUUCCGGGGGGCCAGACGGGUAAGUAACAGGUAUAUAACCGGCCCUACUCUUUGGUAGAACUUAAGGUAACUGGACUUACUCUCGUACCGCAGCCCCCCUUCCAUGGAGGGGGGUGGAUCUUUUCGGCGGGCGGGGAUGGAUGCGCGGCUUACCAGCUAGUUGGUUGGGGAGUGGCAUACCAAGGCAUAGACUGGUCGCCGGCCUGAGAGGGUGGCCGGCCACAUUGGGACUGAGAUACGGCCCAGAGUCCUACGGGAGGCAGCAGUGGGGAAUAUUGUACAAUGGGCGGAAGCCUGAUGAAGCAACGCCGCGUGCGGGAUGACGGCCUUCGGGUUGUAAACCGCUUUCGCCUGUGACGAAGCGUGAGUGACGGUAGUGGGUAAAGAAGCACCGGCUAACUACGUG
rnacentral:rRNA from 1 species